rnacentral:rRNA from 1 species
UACGUAGGGCGCGAGCGUUGUUCGGAAUCACUGGGCGUAAAGGGCGCGUAGGCGGCUUUUCAAGCGUGCGGUGAAAGCUCGGGGCUUAACUCCGAGUCUGCCGUGCGAACUGGGAGGCUUGAGUCUGGUAGAGGUCGAUGGAAUUCCGGGUGUAGCGGUGGAAUGCGUAGAGAUCCGGAAGAACACCGGUGGCGAAGGCGGUCGACUGGGCCGAGAACUGACGCUGAGGCGCGACAGCGUGGGGGAGCAAACAGG